rnacentral:tRNA from 1 species
GUAGCUCAGUGGCUAGAGCACCCGCCUUUUAAGCGGGGUGUCGAGAGUUCGAUCCUCUCC